GCGUUGCCAAGUUGAGUGGGGGAGUGUGUCACCCCAUUUGUGUUGCCCCGAGAAGUCCAAACAAUUUUGUGCUUGAAGCUGCCCGAGUGAAGCCGGAAUUGUGUGUUGGCCGAGUUAUUGUGGGAAGUUGGGACGUGGUUGGCACUUGCAUGAAAGUUCCUGAAAUUGGGACGUGAGGUGCAUGGACUUUGCAUGGAGAGGUUCACGUGAGAUUUGUCAAAUUGCAUGGUAAUUGUGGCAAGUGGAAUUUCACGUGGGAUUUGUGCAUGAGAAGUGCACUAGUGGCGCAAAAGGUGAUCACAUGGGUUAGUGGAGCAUGUGGCGCCUUGGAGUGGAAGCCAUAUGUCUAAGACCUUAAUGGGACAUGUGGCGUCCUAGAGUGGAACCAGCCCACUUCUUGCGUGAAGGAAUUGCAAGUGAAGUAUGGCGCACUAAAGGAGAAUUAGUGGAGACCAUGUGAAGAUGUGAGGGGAAUUCACAUGCAUGGCGUGGUCACGUAAGGGAUUUGGCAAUUUCAUGGUAUAUGUGCAAGUGGAAUUUACCACGUGGCACUAAGUGGCUAAAGGUGAUGAGCAACUUAGUGGGGCACUUGUGAAGCAUGUGAGGCGCACCAUAAUGGCCAAGUGAAGUGCCGUCCAUUGUGAGAUUUGUGUUAGUGCAUGUGGAGCGCACUAAAUGACUUUGUGGUGUAUUGCAUGUGAUGAGCAACAUGGUGAAACAUCACAUGGGAAAUGGCAUGGCGCACAUGGCCUUGACAAGUGGGCAAGUGCAUGGAAAUUGCUAGGUGGCGUGAGGAACCAAAAUGGAUCCAUGCAUGAGAUGAGGGA
rnacentral:misc_RNA from 1 species